AUGACCACGAAGAAGAUGGUGGAUGUUGGCAAUUCCCAACAGCGAGAAGGCAGCUUUUCAGUGCCAUCGCGUGUUACCCAAGUGCGUACCGGCUCCCCGUCGUUGCAUCCGCUGUUCAUGAC
rnacentral:lncRNA from 1 species